rnacentral:rRNA from 1 species
UACGGAGGGAGCUAGCGUUGUUCGGAAUUACUGGGCGUAAAGCGCACGUAGGCGGCUUUGUAAGUUAGAGGUGAAAGCCCGGGGCUCAACUCCGGAACUGCCUUUAAGACUGCAUCGCUUGAAUCCGGGAGAGGUGAGUGGAAUUCCGAGUGUAGAGGUGAAAUUCGUAGAUAUUCGGAAGAACACCAGUGGCGAAGGCGGCUCACUGGACGACUGUUGACGCUGAGGUGACGAAAGCGUGGGGAGCAAACAGG